rnacentral:rRNA from 1 species
AUUGAACGCUGGCGGCAGGCUUAACACAUGCAAGUCGAACGAGUGGCGGACGGGUGAGUAAUGCUUGGGAAUCUAGCUUAUGGAGGGGGAUCACUACGGGAAACUGUAUCUAAUACCGCAUACCAUAGGAUGAGCCCAAGUGUGAUUAGGUAGUGGGUGAGGUAAAGGCUAACCAAGCCGACGAUCUCUAGCUGGUCUGAGAGGAUGACCAGCAAAACUGGGACUGCGACACGGCGCAGACUCCUACGGGAGGCAGCAGUGGGGAAUAUUGCACAAGGGGCGCAAGCCUGAUGCAGCCAUGCCGCGUGUAUGAAGAAGGCCUUAGGGUUGUAAAGUACUUUCAGCGGGGAGGCGUUACCCGCAGAAGAAGCACCGGCUAACUCCGUGCCAGCAGCCGCGGUAAUUC